rnacentral:rRNA from 1 species
AUCAUGGUCAGGAUGAACGCUAGCGACAGGCUUAACACAUGCAAGUCGAGGGGCAUCAUGAGGUAGCAAUACCUUGAUGGCGACCGGCGCACGGGUGAGUAACGCGUAUGCAACCUGCCUGAUACCGGGGUAUAGCCCAUGGAAACGUGGAUUAACACCCCAUAGUACUUUUAUCCUGCAUGGGAUGUGAGUUAAAUGUUUAAGGUAUCGGAUGGGCAUGCGUCCUAUUAGUUAG